GCUUCCAUUUAGGCUGCAGCUGUUGCUAUUAUGUUAAUAAUAUUUUUUAUCACCACUGUAUACAACAGGUUAUGGCAAUAAAAGAAAUGUCUCCUUUUUGGGGAGCUCUCCCCCCUGUUGUUUCCAUUUUCCUAUGCCAGAGGGGAAGACUGAAAGAAAUUCAGACAAAUCAAGCCUCAUCAGCGCACUAUAACGUUCUAUUUCUGAACUGAUUUGUAAGAGAAUGGGUAACUGAAAUUAGCAGAGAAUCACCCCACACAAAGAUGGCGCGUGCAGAAUUCGUGAAAGCGAAAAAGAAGAAGAAGGACAAGCCAGAGAGGGACGGAGCACUGCAGAGCUGGGGCGCAGGUGGAGUCCAGAAAUGAUUUUUUUCGAUGAAUUUAGGAUUUUGCCGCAGUAUACAUCUGCAGUCCCAGAAUCCUCCGCACGGAUGUGUCUCCACCACAUCUCUGUCCACGCUCACAGCAGCCACUGAAACGUCCUUCCUCCACAGGGCAAACGACGAAGGCCUGGAGCACACGAACUCCAAGCAUGAAGGGCGUCCUGACAUAACCAUGGGGACUGGGCCACAGCCACCACUGGGCCAUGGCCUCGGCCACCUUCCCGCCCCUCCCUCGUGGCUGAUCACAUAAGCUGCCAGCUCCCAGAGUGGCUGUCCGCACACCAAGCCCAGUGGGCUCCUCAACUCCUUCUCUGUGAGAACAGUCAGCCAUGUAGGCUGACAGAGGCAUUUACAGCGA